rnacentral:tRNA from 1 species
GGGUACAUAGCUCAGUGGUAGAGUACAAGCGUAACACGCAUGAGGUCCCAGGUUCUAUCCCUGGUACUUCCA